rnacentral:rRNA from 1 species
AUGGGCGGCGCCACCGGCAUGGUCGUGCUCAUGGUGACAAUAAUUCCGGCGGCGUUGCUGCAUAUGGUAUCGGCCGGUGGCACGCCGCCCUUCUCGUGCUGGCCGGGGGCGCCGUACGUCCGCUUCUGCGACCAGCGGGUGCCGGUCGAGCAGCGCGCGGCGGACCUGGUGGCGCGGCUGACGCUGGCGGAGAAGGUGUCGCAGCUGGGGGACGUGGCGGCGGCGGUGCCGCGGCUGGGCGUGCCGGCGUACAAGUGGUGGUCGGAGGGGCUGCACGGGCUGUCCAUGUGGGGCAAGGGCAUGCACUUCACCGGCGCCGUCAAGCAAGUGACCAGCUUCCCGCAGGUGCUGCUCACCACCGCCUCCUUCGACGAGAAGAUCUGGUACUUCAUCGGCCAGGCGAUCGGCGUGGAGGCGCGGGCGUUGUACAACAUCGGGCAGGCGGAGGGGCUCACCAUCUGGUCGCCGAACGUGAACAUCUACCGGGACCCGCGGUGGGGGCGCGGCCACGAGACCCCCGGCGAGGACCCGAUCACGGUGAGCAAGUACGCCGUCGCCUUCGUGAGGGGCCUGCAGGGGCCCUCGCCGACGACGCUGCAGACCUCGGCGUGCUGCAAGCACGCCACCGCCUACGACCUGGACGACUGGCGCGGCACCGUCCGCUACAGCUUCAACGCCAGGGUGAGCCCCCAGGACCUGGCCGACACCUUCAACCCGCCGUUCAGGAGCUGCGUGAGCGAAGGGCAGGCCAGCUGCGUCAUGUGCGCCUACACCUCCGUCAAUGGCGUCCCCGCCUGCGCCGACUACAACCUCCUCACCAAGACGUUCAGGGGGGAAUGGGGGUUGAAGGGGUACGUGGCCUCCGACUGCGACGCGAUCGCGCUGGUGCACGACGGGCAGCACUUCAGGCCCACGCCGGAGGACACGGUGGCCACCACGCUCAAGGCCGGGAUGGACAUGAACUGCGGGAACUACACGCAGGUGCACGGCAUGGCCGCGCUCCGGCAGGGGAAGAUGACGGAGCGGGACGUGGACAAGACGCUCGUCAACCUCUUCUCGGUGAGGAUGCGGCUCGGGCACUUCAACGGCGACCCCCGGAGCAACCCGCUGUACGGGCACUUCGGCGCCAACGACGUGUGCUCUCCCGCCCACAAGAACCUGGCGCUCCAUGCGGCGGAGAGCGGCAUCGUCCUGCUCAAGAACGACGCCGGCAUCCUCCCGCUCCGCCGGUGGACGGUCGGGUCGGUCGCCGUCAUCGGCCCCAACGCCAACGACCCCGGGGCGCUCCUCGGCAACUACUUCGGCCCGCCGUGCGAGACCAUCACGCCGCUCCGGGGGCUCAACGGGUACGUGAAGGACGUGAGGUUCGAGCCCGGGUGCAUCGAUACGGCGUGUUGGUCCGCCGCGACGGGCAAGGCGGUGGCGGUGGCGAGGUCGACGGACCACGUGAUCCUGUUCAUGGGGACGAGCCACGUGCAGGAGGAGGAAGGGCGGGACAGGACGAGCCUGCUGCUCCCCGGGCAGCAGCAGAGCCUCAUCGAAGCCGUGGCCAGCGCGGCGAAACGGCCGGUGAUCCUGGUGCUCCUCACCGGCGGUCCGGUCGACGUGACGUUCGCGAAAUUCAACCCCAAGAUCGGUGCCAUCGUGUGGGCCGGAUACCCCGGGCAGGCCGGCGGGCUUGCCAUCGCCAAGGUGCUCUUCGGGGAGCACAACCCCAGCGGCAGGCUGCCGGUGACGUGGUACCCCGAGGAGUACAUGAGGGUGCCCAUGACGGACAUGCGGAUGCGCGCCGACCCGGCCACCGGCUACCCCGGCCGUACCUACCGCUUCUACCGGGGACCGACCGUCUACAAGUUCGGCUACGGCCUCAGCUACUCCAGGUUCUCCCGCCGGCUAGCAGCCUCAGGACUGGCCGGUCAUCAGAAGAGCCUGCUCGCCGGCCUGACCUCGACGGCAGCAGCGGACGGCGGCGCGAGCCACUACGACGUGGAGGAGGUCGGGGCCGAGAGGUGCGAACAGCUCAAGUUCCCGGCGGUGGUCGAGGUGGAGAACCACGGUCCCAUGGACGGAAAGCACUCGGUGCUGAUGUUCCUCCGGUGGCCCAACGCGACGGGUGGGCGCCCGGCGAGCCAGCUGGUUGGGUUCCAAAGCCAGCACCUCGAGGCCGGCGAGAAGGCUAGCCUGACGUUCGAUGUCAGCCCCUGCGAGCACUUGAGCAGGGCGAGGGAGGACGGCAAGAUGGUGAUCGACGGAGCCUCACACUUCCUCUUUGUUGACGAGGACGACGAGGCCGAGAUCAGCUUCGACGCCUGA